rnacentral:rRNA from 1 species
AGUGAACGCUGGCGGUAGGCCUAACACAUGCAAGUCGAACGGCAGCACAGUAAGAGCUUGCUCUUACGGGUGGCGAGUGGCGGACGGGUGAGGAAUACAUCGGAAUCUACUUUUUCGUGGGGGAUAACGUAGGGAAACUUACGCUAAUACCGCAUAUGACCUACGGGUGAAAGCAGGGGAUCUUCGGACCUUGCGCGAUUGAAUGAGCCGAUGUCGGAUUAGCUAGUUGGCGGGGUAAAGGCCUACCAAGGCGACGAUCCGUAGCUGGUCUGAGAGGAUGAUCAGCCACACUGGAACUGAGACACGGUCCAGACUCCUACGAGAGGCAGCAGUGGGGAAUAUUGGACAAUGGGCGCAAGCCUGAUCCAGCCAUACCGCGUGGGUGAAGAAGGCCUUCGGGUUGUAAAGCCCUUUUGUUGGGAAAGAAAAGCAGCAGGUUAAUACCCCGCUGUUCUGACGGUACCCAAAGAAUAAGCACCGGCUAACUUCGUG